rnacentral:rRNA from 1 species
AUACGGAGGAUCCGAGCGUUAUCCGGAUUUAUUGGGUUUAAAGGGAGCGUAGGCGGACUAUUAAGUCAGCUGUGAAAGUUUGCGGCUCAACCGUAAAAUUGCAGUUGAUACUGGUCGUCUUGAGUGCAGUAGAGGUAGGCGGAAUUCGUGGUGUAGCGGUGAAAUGCUUAGAUAUCACGAAGAACUCCGAUUGCGAAAGCAGCUUACUGGACUGUAACUGACGCUGAUGCUCGAAAGUGUGGGUAUCAAACAGGAUUAGAUACCCUGGUAGUCCACACAGUAAACGAUGAAUACUCGCUGUUUGCGAUAUACGGCAAGCGGCCAAGCGAAAGCAUUAAGUAUUCCACCUGGGGAGUACGCCGGCAACGGUGAAACUCAAAUGAAUUGACGGGG